UACGGAGGGUGCAAGCGUUAUCCGGAAUCACUGGGUUUAAAGGGUGCGUAGGCGGUUAGAUAAGUCAGAGGUGAAAGGUUGUCGCUUAACGAUAAAAUUGCCUUUGAUACUGUUUAACUAGAAUUAGGUUGAGGUAGGCGGAAUGCGACAUGUAGCGGUGAAAUGCAUAGAUAUGUCGUAGAACACCAAUUGCGAAGGCAGCUUACUAGACCUAUAUUGACGCUGAGGCACGAAAGCGUGGGGAGCGAACAGG
rnacentral:rRNA from 1 species